rnacentral:lncRNA from 10 species
AAUGACCCCUUGAUUCUGAAGCUGAAUGAUUUGAAAGUGAGAAGAAGCAGGCAAGUAUUCCUAUUUUCUCUAUUUAGAGAAAACAGUCAAGCAAAUAAACCACCAAACCUAGAUGGGGAAGAGACUGGCCCAGGUGCUCCAGUGGCCAGCAGAAGUAUGUUUAUCUGAUUUCUUCCUCUACAACCAACCAGAGAAAACUCUCUACUUUUAAAGAGCUCAACUGAUUCGGUCAGGCUGCGGCAGGAUAAUCUUUCUUUUGCCAAAAAUCAUAGCAUGAAGACUGUGUACAUCAAGGGCCAGGAAUCAUGAAAGACAUCUAAAAAUUCUGCCUACUACAGUGACCGGGGUCAUUUAAGGGAUCAUUAAAAGAUGAUAUAAUAAUAUUUACUCUCAAGUGAAAGUGGCUUGGAGCUCUAGAGUUAGUUUAUAUUUAUAGAAACUGUCAAUUCGAUAAGUAACUUUCAGUUUCUGGAAAAAGUGAGUAUUGGUAUGCAGCAGGUCAAGCUAUCAUGCUUGAUUGCCUCUGUGAACUUAGAUUGCUUGACCUGCCUUAAUCUUAAUUCCCACAUUUAUUAACUUGGAAUUUAAUAAUGCUUAUCUCGUAGAGUCAUUCCAAGCAUAAGUUAUAAGAUUUCCUUUAAAGAAUUUUGCAAACCAUAAGGAAUGAAACAAAUGUGAGUCAUUGCUAUUUUCAUCAUGUAUUAUUACUUUUCUUUGAAGCCCUAAACAGCUGUAAUAUUUGGGUUUGUUUUAUUUAACCUAUUUAUGGAAAAGCAUAGCUUUAAUUUUCAAUUUAAGAAUGUUAUGAUGUCUGAUUUCGUGUAGGCUUUUUCAUUUUCUUUUCUUCUUCUGAUUCUUUUUUUAAUGUAGGAGUUACAAAGGUGCUCCUGUGCUUCUGAUGGCAGAUUUAGCACACGAAUUUCUGGGAGCAGCAUUUGUACAUCAAAGGAUGUUCUUCUUAAAUAAUCUGCUAAUUAAAUUAAAGCUGCUUCAGAGCAUCUUUUGCAGUAUGGAACUUUUUGAUACUGUGUUAAUGUUUUAUAAUCAAGUCUCCAAACGGAUUUCUCCAAAACACAUGGUGAAUGGGUGAAAUAUGGAGUUAGAGUUUGUGUGUGUAUUAAUUUUUAUGACAGGAAAAUAAAUAAGGGAAAAAGACUAGGCAUAGGAAUAAACACCUCUUUUACUUACCAUAAAAAAGUAGCUUCUUUAUUGUUAAAAAUCACUGAACAUGAACAUGAAAAGCAAAAGAAAAACACAGUCGAAGAGCCUCUUUAACUACCAUUCUUGUGGUAGAGGUAGGACUGAUAUGCAUGAAUAGUUUUCCAAAGGAUCAGAGGAAAGAAGGAAGAAUAUGUCCAGAACACGGCAAACUAAAUAAUCAUCAGUAAAAUGGAGUUUCAUUGAAUUAGUAUUCCCUGAAGGCAAAAUAUAAUAGUAGGAAGUCCUGUCAGUCUAAUUCAAGGAGGUUUAUUCAUUGGAAUACCAAAAGUACAGAAUUACUAAAUUUUACUAAGUGGUGGUGGUCUUCAGUAGAUUUUCUGACAUCUCAGCUUUUAAGUAUUGAUUUUUAUUAAAUUUCAGUAGCAACAUUUGAGUUUAGAUAGAAUGCACCGUUAACUUAACAACACCUUGUAGUUAAGCUCUUUCUAGAAAACUAAUCUCAGACACUACCUGGCAAUUAAAUUAUUAUGUAAGCUUCAAAAUCUGCAAUUGCAAUGCCUUCUGAUGUGGUUUGGAUAUCUGUCCAGCCUAAAUCUCAUUUUGAAUUGUAAUUCCCAAUGUUGGAGGCAGGACCUAGUGGGAGGUGUUUAGAUUAUGGGGAUGGAUUUCUCAUAGCUUGGUACUGUCCUAAAGAUAGUGAGUAACUUCCCGUGAGAUCUGGUUGUUUAAAAGUAUGUGGCACAUCCCCCACACUCCCUUGUUCCUGCUCUCGCC